rnacentral:misc_RNA from 1 species
GAAACGUCCCGUGUGGGAGGGGCGGGUCUGGGUGCGGCCUGCCGCAUGACUCGUGGUUCGGAGGCCCACGUGGCCGGGGCGGGGACUCAGGCGCCUGGGGCGCCGACUGAUUACGUAGCGGGCGGGGCCGGAAGUGCCGCUCCUUGGUGGGGGCUGUUCAUGGCGGUUCCGGGGUCUCCAACAUUUUUCCCGGCUGUGGUCCUAAAUCUGUCCAAAGCAGAGGCAGUGGAGCUUGAGGAUUCUUACAGAAAACAAGUGGUUAUAGAUGGUGAAACCUGUUUGUUGGACAUACUGGAUACAGCUGGACAAGAAGAGUACAGUGCCAUGAGAGACCAAUACAUGAGGACAGGCGAAGGCUUCCUCUGUGUAUUUGCCAUCAAUAAUAGCAAGUCAUUUGCGGAUAUUAACCUCUACAGGGAGCAGAUUAAGCGAGUAAAAGACUCGGAUGAUGUACCUAUGGUGCUAGUGGGAAACAAGUGUGAUUUGCCAACAAGGACAGUUGAUACAAAACAAGCCCACGAACUGGCCAAGAGUUACGGGAUUCCAUUCAUUGAAACCUCAGCCAAGACCAGACAGGGUGUUGAAGAUGCUUUUUACACACUGGUAAGAGAAAUACGCCAGUACCGAAUGAAAAAACUCAACAGCAGUGAUGAUGGGACUCAGGGUUGUAUGGGAUUGCCAUGUGUGGUGAUGUAACAAGAUACUUUUAAAGUUUUGUCAGAAAAGAGCCACUUUCAAGCUGCACUGACACCCUGGUCCUGACUUCCCUGGAGGAGAAGUAUUCCUGUUGCUGUCUUCAGUCUCACAGAGAAGCUCCUGCUACUUCCCCAGCUCUCAGUAGUUUAGUACAAUAAUCUCUAUUUGAGAAGUUCUCAGAAUAACUACCUCCUCACUUGGCUGUCUGACCAGAGAAUGCACCUCUUGUUACUCCCUGUUAUUUUUCUGCCCUGGGUUCUUCCACAGCACAAACACACCUCUGCCACCCCAGGUUUUUCAUCUGAAAAGCAGUUCAUGUCUGAAACAGAGAACCAAACCGCAAACGUGAAAUUCUAUUGAAAACAGUGUCUUGAGCUCUAAAGUAGCAACUGCUGGUGAUUUUUUUUUUCUUUUUACUGUUGAACUUAGAACUAUGCUAAUUUUUGGAGAAAUGUCAUAAAUUACUGUUUUGCCAAGAAUAUAGUUAUUAUUGCUGUUUGGUUUGUUUAUAAUGUUAUCGGCUCUAUUCUCUAAACUGGCAUCUGCUCUAGAUUCAUAAAUACAAAAAUGAAUACUGAAUUUUGAGUCUAUCCUAGUCUUCACAACUUUGACGUAAUUAAAUCCAACUUUCACAGUGAAGUGCCUUUUUCCUAGAAGUGGUUUGUAGACUUCCUUUAUAAUAUUUCAGUGGAAUAGAUGUCUCAAAAAUCCUUAUGCAUGAAAUGAAUGUCUGAGAUACGUCUGUGACUUAUCUACCAUUGAAGGAAAGCUAUAUCUAUUUGAGAGCAGAUGCCAUUUUGUACAUGUAUGAAAUUGGUUUUCCAGAGGCCUGUUUUGGGGCUUUCCCAGGAGAAAGAUGAAACUGAAAGCACAUGAAUAAUUUCACUUAAUAAUUUUUACCUAAUCUCCACUUUUUUCAUAGGUUACUACCUAUACAAUGUAUGUAAUUUGUUUCCCCUAGCUUACUGAUAAACCUAAUAUUCAAUGAACUUCCAUUUGUAUUCAAAUUUGUGUCAUACCAGAAAGCUCUACAUUUGCAGAUGUUCAAAUAUUGUAAAACUUUGGUGCAUUGUUAUUUAAUAGCUGUGAUCAGUGAUUUUCAAACCUCAAAUAUAGUAUAUUAACAAAUUACAUUUUCACUGUAUAUCAUGGUAUCUUAAUGAUGUAUAUAAUUGCCUUCAAUCCCCUUCUCACCCCACCCUCUACAGCUUCCCCCACAGCAAUAGGGGCUUGAUUAUUUCAGUUGAGUAAAGCAUGGUGCUAAUGGACCAGGGUCACAGUUUCAAAACUUGAACAAUCCAGUUAGCAUCACAGAGAAAGAAAUUCUUCUGCAUUUGCUCAUUGCACCAGUAACUCCAGCUAGUAAUUUUGCUAGGUAGCUGCAGUUAGCCCUGCAAGGAAAGAAGAGGUCAGUUAGCACAAACCCUUUACCAUGACUGGAAAACUCAGUAUCACGUAUUUAAACAUUUUUUUUUCUUUUAGCCAUGUAGAAACUCUAAAUUAAGCCAAUAUUCUCAUUUGAGAAUGAGGAUGUCUCAGCUGAGAAACGUUUUAAAUUCUCUUUAUUCAUAAUGUUCUUUGAAGGGUUUAAAACAAGAUGUUGAUAAAUCUAAGCUGAUGAGUUUGCUCAAAACAGGAAGUUGAAAUUGUUGAGACAGGAAUGGAAAAUAUAAUUAAUUGAUACCUAUGAGGAUUUGGAGGCUUGGCAUUUUAAUUUGCAGAUAAUACCCUGGUAAUUCUCAUGAAAAAUAGACUUGGAUAACUUUUGAUAAAAGACUAAUUCCAAAAUGGCCACUUUGUUCCUGUCUUUAAUAUCUAAAUACUUACUGAGGUCCUCCAUCUUCUAUAUUAUGAAUUUUCAUUUAUUAAGCAAAUGUCAUAUUACCUUGAAAUUCAGAAGAGAAGAAACAUAUACUGUGUCCAGAGUAUAAUGAACCUGCAGAGUUGUGCUUCUUACUGCUAAUUCUGGGAGCUUUCACAGUACUGUCAUCAUUUGUAAAUGGAAAUUCUGCUUUUCUGUUUCUGCUCCUUCUGGAGCAGUGCUACUCUGUAAUUUUCCUGAGGCUUAUCACCUCAGUCAUUUCUUUUUUAAAUGUCUGUGACUGGCAGUGAUUCUUUUUCUUAAAAAUCUAUUAAAUUUGAUGUCAAAUUAGGGAGAAAGAUAGUUACUCAUCUUGGGCUCUUGUGCCAAUAGCCCUUGUAUGUAUGUACUUAGAGUUUUCCAAGUAUGUUCUAAGCACAGAAGUUUCUAAAUGGGGCCAAAAUUCAGACUUGAGUAUGUUCUUUGAAUACCUUAAGAAGUUACAAUUAGCCGGGCAUGGUGGCCCGUGCCUGUAGUCCCAGCUACUUGAGAGGCUGAGGCAGGAGAAUCACUUCAACCCAGGAGGUGGAGGUUACAGUGAGCAGAGAUCGUGCCACUGCACUCCAGCCUGGGUGACAAGAGAGACUUGUCUCCAAAAAAAAAGUUACACCUAGGUGUGAAUUUUGGCACAAAGGAGUGACAAACUUAUAGUUAAAAGCUGAAUAACUUCAGUGUGGUAUAAAACGUGGUUUUUAGGCUAUGUUUGUGAUUGCUGAAAAGAAUUCUAGUUUACCUCAAAAUCCUUCUCUUUCCCCAAAUUAAGUGCCUGGCCAGCUGUCAUAAAUUACAUAUUCCUUUUGGUUUUUUUAAAGGUUACAUGUUCAAGAGUGAAAAUAAGAUGUUCUGUCUGAAGGCUACCAUGCCGGAUCUGUAAAUGAACCUGUUAAAUGCUGUAUUUGCUCCAACGGCUUACUAUAGAAUGUUACUUAAUACAAUAUCAUACUUAUUACAAUUUUUACUAUAGGAGUGUAAUAGGUAAAAUUAAUCUCUAUUUUAGUGGGCCCAUGUUUAGUCUUUCACCAUCCUUUAAACUGCUGUGAAUUUUUUUGUCAUGACUUGAAAGCAAGGAUAGAGAAACACUUUAGAGAUAUGUGGGGUUUUUUUACCAUUCCAGAGCUUGUGAGCAUAAUCAUAUUUGCUUUAUAUUUAUAGUCAUGAACUCCUAAGUUGGCAGCUACAACCAAGAACCAAAAAAUGGUGCGUUCUGCUUCUUGUAAUUCAUCUCUGCUAAUAAAUUAUAAGAAGCAAGGAAAAUUAGGGAAAAUAUUUUAUUUGGAUGGUUUCUAUAAACAAGGGACUAUAAUUCUUGUACAUUAUUUUUCAUCUUUGCUGUUUCUUUGAGCAGUCUAAUGUGCCACACAAUUAUCUAAGGUAUUUGUUUUCUAUAAGAAUUGUUUUAAAAGUAUUCUUGUUACCAGAGUAGUUGUAUUAUAUUUCAAAACGUAAGAUGAUUUUUAAAAGCCUGAGUACUGACCUAAGAUGGAAUUGUAUGAACUCUGCUCUGGAGGGAGGGGA